UUUUAUUUAGCAAUAAAUCACUUAAAGUGGUAAGCUUUUUAUGAGUGUUAACUUAUGUAAAAGACUUCAAACCACUGUAGAGAUAAUAAACAUAGCUCUGGAUCCAUAGAGGACUACAAGAAUCCUGCAUUUAUAGACCUGGACAAUGUCACAAAAGGAAUGGACAACAAUCCGAAGGUAAAGCUUGCAUGUUUAGGAACCAAGGCUUUAAGAAACUCAUCAGAGACUCUGAAUACACAUCUGGAACGUGAGG